UACGGGGGGGGGCAAGCGUUGUUCGGAAUUACUGGGCGUAAAGGCUCGUAGGCGGCCCUCUCAGUCGGAUGUGAAAUCCCUCGGCUCAACCGGGAACUGCGUCUGAUACUGGGUGGCUUGAAUCCGGGAGAGGGAUGCGGAAUUCCAGGUGUAGCGGUGAAAUGCGUAGAUAUCUGGAGGAAGACCAGUGGCGAAGGCGGGUCUCUGGACAGUCCUGACACUGAGACACGAAGGCCAGGGGAGCAAACGGG
rnacentral:rRNA from 1 species